GGCUGACUCGUUGACUUGGGAGCAGUGGUGUGGGGUGUGUGCGGGCCCCGAAUGUGCAGGGGCUUGCGGCGCCGUUGGAGCGUGGCCGGGAAGCCCUCUCAGCCUUUUCGCCUCCGCGCCCCGCGUCUCCGGGGGCGGCCCUUGGCGGCGUCCGCCAUCUUGGAGCACCUUCCCUGCCGCGUUGCUCGCGCAGAGGAAAUGUCGCUCGAGACGCCGGCGCGUUCGAGUUAACGUUUUUUUGUCCCCCUGCCUUUCUUUCUCUGGCUAAGUCAGACGAGAACGAAGCUUGUGCUCGGUGUUCGUCAAGCUUCCUCGGGGAAAGGCUAACGUGGCGUGCCACCGUUUCCCCCACCCCCCACUUUUAACGCACGCGGGCGGUCGCCAUGUUUUCUGAUCACAAAAUGGCGACACGUGGCCUCGAUCUGUUCCUAAGAAGAAGUUGGGGUGGGCCCGAAAGCUCUAGAAUACACACCCCCGCCCUGGUCCCUCCCCUCGCCAGGUUUUAUGACCACUGGGGAUGGAGUCCUUCAUUUUGGUCCAAAGCUCGUUGGAUCAAUUUUAAUCCGUGCUCCAGCCCCUUUGAUUUGAAACAGGAAUGCCAAUAACUGAAAUGGGGCAUAAUAUUGGUUCUCCAGCUCUGUUAAAAUUGGGUGGUGAAUAAUGGGAUGUGGUACCAGGGAGUAAUUUGGGAGCCCCUGACCACUCCAGCAGGAAAGCAUUUAGAAAUUACUGCUUUAAGAAAUAAUGCGGGAAUUUCUUGCUUUUCUAGUUUUCCUGGCAUAGAUUGAUGUACUGGAGGGUCCCAGAGAGGAUUUUACAAGGAUUAGGCUUUGUGAAGUGUGUAGGGCAUUUGGGUGUUUUUUCACGGUCCAGCUGGCCCAUGUACCUCAGUUUACUAUGAUUGGUAUUCACUGUGAGUCUAGAAAAUUCACGUGUUUACUGUGAUGCUUAGGCAUUUGGCCGAUACCAUGUUUUUAACUGUGAUGUUCUGAGGUAGGUGGUAUCAUCUGUUUUCUCUCUCUUUUUUUAAAACAGAGGAAGAUAACAAACACGAAGGGUUUAAGUCAAGGUCACACGUGUCAUACACGGAAUCCAGACCUGAAUUUCUUCCUGAGUUGUGUGGCAUGUGACUGUGUGAGGUGUGAGGCCCAGCAGGCUGUCAUAGAGACUAAUUGAUGGUGAAUCAGCUGUUGGUCCGAUAAAAAGAGAGGAGGAAAGACAGAGGAAGAUCUUCCGUCUGCUGAUUCACCCCCCAGGCGACCUCAACAGCUGGUGCUAUGCCGAUCUGAAGCCAGGAGCCUGGAACUUCCUCCAGGUCUCCCACGUGGGUACAGAGUCCGAAGGCUUUGGGCCACAUUCUCUACUGCUUUUCCAGGCCAUAGUAAGAGAGCUAGAUGGGAAGUAGAACAGCUGGGGCACAGACUGGUUCCCGUAUGGGAUCCCAGUGCAAGGUGAGGAUUUAGCAUUGAGCCAUUAUGCCAGACCCCGUUUUUCCAUACUUUCCCACUAUCAUUUUAAGAUAAAUCCCAAGAAAUGGCAUGAGUCAAGAUAUUCACAUUUACAAUGUAAACUGAUAAAGUCAAACCACCCUUAAGAAUAUGAACUGGAAAAAAAAAAAGAAUAUGAAUUUCUGGAGCAGGUGUAUUGGCUCAAUUGACUAAUCCUUCACCUCUAAGUGCUGGCACCCCAUUUGGGUGCCGAUUUGUGUUCCAACUGUUCAA